rnacentral:rRNA from 1 species
UGGCGGACGGGUGAGUAACGCGUGGGUAACCUGCCUUACACAGGGGGAUAACACUUAGAAAUAGGUGCUAAAACCGCAUAAGCGCACAGCUUCGCAUGAAGCGGUGUGAAAAACUCCGGUGGUGUAAGAUGGACCCGCGUCUGAUUAGCUUGUUGGCGGGGUAACGGCCCACCAAGGCGACGAUCAGUAGCCGGCCUGAGAGGGCGGACGGCCACAUUGGGACUGAGACACGGCCCAGACUCCUACGGGAGGCAGCAG